CGGCAACAGCUCAAAUUUGAAAUCUGGCCCUCGGGUCCGAGUUGUAAUUUGCAGAGGAUGUUUCGGGUACCGUUGCGGUCUAGGUUCCUUGGAAUAGGACGCCAGAGAGGGUGAGAGUCCCGUCUUGGACCGCGGUAGGGCCUAUGUGAAACUCCUUCGAC
rnacentral:rRNA from 1 species